rnacentral:rRNA from 1 species
CCUACGGGUGGCAGCAGUGAGGAAUAUUGGUCAAUGGACGGACGUCUGAACCAGCCAUGCCGCGUGCAGGAAGACGGCCCUAUGAGUUGUAAACUGCUUUUGUAAAAGAGCAAAGCUGAAUACGUGUAUUCAGCCGAAAGUACUGUACGAAAAAGGAACGGCCAACCUCGUGCCAGCAGACGCGGGUAUACGGAAGAACGCAGCGUUAUCCGGAUUUGAUUGGUUUAAAGGGUGCGUAGGGGGGUUGAUAAGUUAGAGGUGAAAUGUCCGAGCUUAACUCUGGAACUGCCUCUAAUACUGGUGAUCUAGAGUGUAGAUGCGGUAGGUGGAAUGUAUGGUGUAGCGGUGAAAUGCUUAGAGAUCAUACAGAACACCGAUUGCGAAGGCAGCUUACCAAUCUAUAUCUGACGUUGAGGCACGAAAGCGUGGGGAGCAAACAGGAUUAGAUACCCUAGUAGUC